AGCCCCUCAAGCCCGGCUUGUGUGAUGGACGACCGUCCGGCGCCCCCGUCUCUGGGGGUGCGGGACGCGCCCGAAAAGCAGUGGCCAGGCCGCGAUUCCGGCUUUCUAGGCGAAUGGGCAACAAACCAGCGCCUCCAGGACCGGCCGCCCUGGCCUCAAAAUCUGUUUUAUACUUAUCAGG
rnacentral:misc_RNA from 1 species